AUUGCUCCUAGACGGGAUGCAGGUGUGGCUGUUGUGUCAGUAGGUGACAGAGAGGAGAGGCAAUGACUACCUUCAGUGUUCUGACCAAUGAUUAGUAGCCUAAUACU
ensembl:snoRNA Gm22763 predicted gene, 22763